rnacentral:rRNA from 1 species
UACGGAGGGUGCAAACGUUGCUCGGAAUCAUUGGGCGUAAAGCGCACGUAGGCGGAUCGUCAAGUCGGAUGUGAAAUCCCUCGGCUUAACCGAGGACGUGCAUUCGAAACUGACGACCUUGAGUACGACAGAGGAUCGCGGAAUUCCCGGUGUAGAGGUGAAAUUCGUAGAUAUCGGGAGGAACACCAGUGGCGAAGGCGGCGAUCUGGGUCGAUACUGACGCUGAGGUGCGAAAGCGUGGGGAGCAAACAGG